GACAGAGGAUGCAAGCGUUAUCCGGAAUUAUUGGGCGUAAAGAGCUCGUAGGCGGCCUGUUGCGUCCGCUGUGAAAGCCCGGGGCUUAACCCCGGGUCGGCAGUGGAUACGGGCAGGCUAGAGGUAGGUAGGGGAGAAUGGAAUUCCCGGUGUAGCGGUGAAAUGCGCAGAGUAUCGGGAGGAACACCGGUGGCGAAGGCGGUUCUCUGGGCCUUACCUGACGCUGAGGAGCGAAAGCGUGGGGAGCGAACAGG
rnacentral:rRNA from 1 species